CCUUCAGGGUUGACUGGUUUGAUCUUGCAGUCCAAGGGACUCUCAAGAGUCUCCUGCAGCACACAGUUUGAAAGCAUCAACUCUUCGGGGUUCAGCCUUCUAUAGGGUCCAACUCUGAACGUUUGUACAUGACUGCUGGCAAAGCCAUAGCUUUGACUAUACAGAGGGUUCAUUGGCAAAGUAAUGUCUCUGCUUUUUAAUAGGCUGUCUAGGUUUGUCAUAGCUUUUCUUCCAAAAAUCAAGCAUCUUUUAGUUUCAUGGCUGCAGUCA